CGAGUGGGGGAUAACGUCCCGAAAGGGACGCUAAUACCGCAUGACAUCCUGCCUUUGGAAAGGCGGAGAUCAAAGCUGGGGAUCGCAAGACCUGGCGCUUGAAGAGGGGCCCGCGUCUGAUUAGCUAGUUGGUGGGGUAACGGCUCACCAAGGCGACGAUCAGUAUCCGGCCUGAGAGGGCGGACGGACACACUGGGACUGAGACACGGCCCAGACUCCUACGGGAGGCAGCAGUGGGGAAUUGUUCGCAAUGGGCGCAAGCCUGACGACGCAACGCCGCGUGGAGGACGAAGAUCUUCGGGUCGUAAACUCCUGUCGAGCGGGAAGAAACCCGCGGGGGUGAACAGCCCCUGCGGUUGACGGUACCGCUAAAGGAAGCCCCGGCUAACUCCGUGCCAGCAGCCGCGGUAAUACGGGGGGGGCAAGCGUUGUUCGGAAUUACUGGGCGUAAAGGGCUCGUAGGCGGCCAACUAAGUCGGAUGUGAAAUCCCCAGGCUUAACCUGGGAACUGCAUCCGAUACUGGAUGGCUUGAAUCCGGGAGAGGGAUGCAGAAUUCCAGGUGUAGCGGUGAAAUGCGUAGAUAUCUGGAGGAAUACCGGUGGCGAAGGCGGCAUCCUGGACCGGCAUUGACGCUGAGGAGCGAAAGCCAGGGGAGCAAACGGGAUUAGAUACCCCGGUAGUCCUGGCCCUAAACGAUGCUCAUUAGGUGUGGGAGGUAUCGACCC
rnacentral:rRNA from 1 species